UUAGGAUUAACUGUAACCCUACAUAUGUUUUGCAAGGCAAAUUGGCCUUGAAGUUGUGCACUGUAUUGUCUGGCGCUUCUGUGGCUAUUUUAUGUGUUUCUGCUCCUGAUACAGUAUACUUCCUGUGUUUCUGUAGCUCAGCAGCGAGUCCUCCAGAGAGGAAACCAUGUGCUGGAGACAUCCACCGGCCCCAUUUUGUUCUCUGUGUGUUUGGGUCCAGACCUGGUUUCUGCAGCCAGUCCCACGGGCGCAGCACAACAAACAGUCACAGCAGAUCCAGGUGGGCCUUUAUGCCUCA
rnacentral:lncRNA from 1 species